rnacentral:rRNA from 1 species
UUGAACGCUGGCGGCAUGCUUUACACAUGCAAGUCGAACGGUAACAGGUUAAGCUGACGAGUGGCGAACGGGUGAGUAAUGCAUCGGAACGUGCCCGAUCGUGGGGGAUAACGCAGCGAAAGCUGCGCUAAUACCGCAUACGAUCUGAGGAUGAAAGCGGGGGACCGUAAGGCCUCGCGCGAUCGGAGCGGCCGAUGUCAGAUUAGGUAGUUGGUGGGGUAAAGGCUCACCAAGGCGACGAUCCGUAGCGGGUCUGAGAGGAUGAUCCGCCACACUGGGACUGAGACACGGCCCAGACUCCUACGGGAGGCAGCAGUGGGGAAUUUUGGACAAUGGGCGAAAGCCUGAUCCAGCCAUGCCGCGUGAGUGAAGAAGGCCUUCGGGUUGUAAAGCUCUUUCAGCCGGAAAGAAAUCGCGCAGGCUAAUACUCUGCGUGGAUGACGGUACCGGAAGAAGAAGCACCGGCUAACUACGU